AUGGCCUUCUACCUGGCGUCCCUGCCUCAGGGCUCCCCACUAAGACGUGUCCUCCACACAGGCCCAGAGACUACUCUAGAGCACAGGCCCAGGGAGCCGCAUUACUUCCAUCGAUCUCUGCAAAGAGCCAGAAUCCAAUGGCUUCCCCCAUCACCCCAAGCAUCGAAUAGCAAAUCCUCUGUUGGACAUCUCAAAAUCCCCACAAAGCGGCCCUAUGCAGCCUCAUUAUCCACCAAGCUGUGCACUCUCUGUCUCUCUCUCUCCUUCCCUCUGCUCUCUUUUCUGUCUCUCUCUGUCUCCCCCCCCCCUUAUGUAUUUCUCCCCCUUUUUCUCUGUCCUUUCUCUCUGUCUCUCCCCUUCCCUCUCUUUUCUGUCUCUCCCUCUCUUUUCUCUCUCUCUCUCUGUCUCUCCCCUUCCCUCUCUUUUCUGUCUCUCCCUUUCUUUUCUCUCUCUCUCCCCUCUCUUUCUCUCCUCUCUCUCCCUCUCUGUCUCUCUCUCCCUUUUCUCUCUCUCCUCCCUUUCUCUCCUCUCCCUCCCUCUCUGUCUCCCUUCCUCCUUCCCUUUCCUUCCUUCUCUCUGUCUCUGUCUCUCUCUCCCUUCUCUCUCUCUCCUCCCUUUCUCUCCUCUCUCUCCCUCUCUGUUUCCCUUCCUCCUUCCCUCCCUCUCCUUCAUCUCCCACCUUUCUGCCUUUGCUCUUGCUAUCCCCUGGGCCUAGGACGCACCCUUUCUUCAUCUCAAGGCUCAGCUCAAACAUCCCCUCCUCCAUGA
rnacentral:lncRNA from 1 species